GAUGAACGCUGGCGGCGUGCCUAACACAUGCAAGUCGAACGGACUUCUGAUGAAGCCUAGUGAUUCGGAAGUUAGUGGCGGACGGGUGAGUAACGCGUGGGAAACCUGCCCUGUACCGGGGGAUAACACUUAGAAAUAGGUGCUAAUACCGCAUAAGUGCACGGUUCCGCAUGGAACAGUGUGAAAAACUCCGGUGGUACAGGAUGGUCCCGCGUCUGAUUAGCUAGUUGGUAAGGUAACGGCUUACCAAGGCGACGAUCAGUAGCCGGCCUGAGAGGGUGAACGGCCACAUUGGGACUGAGACACGGCCCAAA
rnacentral:rRNA from 1 species